AAAUUGAAGAGUUUGAUCAUGGCUCAGAUUGAACGCUGGCGGCAGGCCUAACACAUGCAAGUCGAGCGGUAGCACAGAGAGCUUGCUCUCGGGUGACGAGCGGCGGACGGGUGAGUAAUGUCUGGGAAACUGCCUGAUGGAGGGGGAUAACUACUGGAAACGGUAGCUAAUACCGCAUAAUGUCGCAAGACCAAAGUGGGGGACCUUCGGGCCUCAUGCCAUCAGAUGUGCCCAGAUGGGAUUAGCUAGUAGGUGGGGUAACGGCUCACCUAGGCGACGAUCCUAGCUGGUCUGAGAGGAUGACCAGCCACACUGGAACUGAGACACGGUCCAGACUCUACGGGAGGCAGCAGUGGGGAAUAUUGCACAAUGGGCGCAAGCCUGAUGCAGCCAUGCCGCGUGUGUGAAGAAGGCCUUCGGGUUGUAAAGCACUUUCAGCGGGGAGGAAGGCGAUAAGGUUAAUAACCUUGUCGAUUGACGUUACCCGCAGAAGAAGCACCGGCUAACUCCGUGCCAGCAGCCGCGGUAAUACGGAGGGUGCAAGCGUUAAUCGGAAUUACUGGGCGUAAAGCGCACGCAGGCGGUCUGUCAAGUCGGAUGUGAAAUCCCCGGGCUCAACCUGGGAACUGCAUUCGAAACUGGCAGGCUAGAGUCUUGUAGAGGGGGUAGAAUUCGGUGUAGCGGUGAAAUGCGUAGAGAUCUGGAGGAAUACCGGUGGCGAAGGCGGCCCCUGGACAAAGACUGACGCUCAGGUGCGAAAGCGUGGGGAGCAAACAGGAUUAGAUACCUGGUAGUCCACGCCGUAAACGAUGUCGAUUUGGAGGUUGUGCCCUUGAGGCGUGGCUUCCGGAGCUAACGCGUUAAAUCGACCGCCUGGGAGUACGGCCGCAAGGUUAAAACUCAAAUGAAUUGACGGGGGCCCGCACAAGCGGUGGAGCAUGUGGUUUAAUUCGAUGCAACGCGAAGAACCUUACCUGGUCUUGACAUCCACAGAACUUUCCAGAGAUGGAUUGGUGCCUUCGGGAACUGUGAGACAGGUGCUGCAUGGCUGUCGUCAGCUCGUGUUGUGAAAUGUUGGGUUAAGUCCCGCAACGAGCGCAACCCUUAUCCUUUGUUGCCAGCGGUUCGGCCGGGAACUCAAAGGAGACUGCCAGUGAUAAACUGGAGGAAGGUGGGGAUGACGUCAAGUCAUCAUGGCCCUUACGAGGCUACACACGUGCUACAAUGGCAUAUACAAAGAGAAGCGACCUCGCGAGAGCAAGCGGACCUCAUAAAGUAUGUCGUAGUCCGGAUUGAGUCUGCAACUCGACUCCAUGAAGUCGGAAUCGCUAGUAAUCGUAGAUCAGAAUGCUACGGUGAAUACGUUCCCGGGCCUUGUACACACCGCCCGUCACACCAUGGGAGUGGGUUGCAAAGAAGUAGGUAGCUUAACCUUCGGGAGGGCGCUUACCACUUUGUGAUUCAUGACUGGGGUGAAGUCGUAACAAGGUAACCGUAGGGGAACCUGCGGUUGGAUCACCUCCUUA
rnacentral:rRNA from 1 species